CUAAUACCUUUCUUUGUGUCUUAUGAUGAAGCUUUAUAGGGCAGAUUCUGAGCUGAGAGAUGAAAUUUCUCUCCAGUGAUACUCUCUAUAUGCCAUCUGAAGACACUACCUAUUGC
rnacentral:snoRNA from 1 species